AAUAGAAAUAAAAAUGACUAUUUCCACGACGCGUUUGAUUUGUGUAAAGCUUGAACUAGGUCGAGUCAGAUGGAUCCAUAUCUCUACCCAAACCCAGCUCGAAUUUUAUUUCAGACUUCAAGUCUGGCUUUGGUCCAAUAUUUUUUUUAACAAAUCUAGAUUCAAACCUGGCUUGAGCCUAAGCCCAAGUCUUGCUCAAACCUGGUUGCGCCAGCUUGAGUGUAUAAACCCUAUUAGCUAUUUAUCUCACACUGAAGGUUGAGGGC
rnacentral:lncRNA from 1 species